rnacentral:rRNA from 1 species
AGAGUUUGAUCCUGGCUCAGGAUGAACGCUAGCUACAGGCUUAACACAUGCAAGUCGAGGGGCAGCAUGGUCUUAGCUUGCUAAGGCCGAUGGCGACCGGCGCACGGGUGAGUAACGCGUAUCCAACCUGCCUUACACUCUUGGACAGCCUUCUGAAAGGGAGAUUAAUACAAGAUGUUAUCAUGAGUAAGCAUUUUCGCAUGAUUAAAGGUUUACCGGUGUAAGAUGGGGAUGCGUUCCAUUAGAUAGUAGGCGGGGUAACGGCCCACCUAGUCUUCGAUGGAUAGGGGUUCUGAGAGGAAGGUCCCCCACAUUGGAACUGAGACACGGUCCAAACUCCUACGGGAGGCAGCAGUGAGGAAUAUUGGUCAAUGGACGAGAGUCUGAACCAGCCAAGUAGCGUGAAGGAUGAAGGUUCUAUGGAUUGUAAACUUCUUUUAUACGGGAAUAAACGGAUCCACGUGUGGAUUUUUGCAUGUACCGUAUGAAUAAGGAUCGGCUAACUCCGUGCCAGCAGCCGCGGUAAUACGGAGGAUCCGAGCGUUAUCCGGAUUUAUUGGGUUUAAAGGGAGCGUAGAUGGGUUGUUAAGUCAGUUGUGAAAGUUUGCGGCUCAACCGUAAAAUUGCAAUUGAUACUGGCAGUCUUGAGUACAGUUGAGGUAGGCGGAAUUCGUGGUGUAGCGGUGAAAUGCUUAGAUAUCACGAAGAACUCCGAUUGCGAAGGCAGCUUACUAACCUGUAACUGACAUUGAUGCUCGAAAGUGUGGGUAUCAAACAGGAUUAGAUACCCUGGUAGUCCACACGGUAAACGAUGAAUACUCGCUGUAGGCGAUAUACAGUCUGCGGCCAAGCGAAAGCAUUAAGUAUUCCACCUGGGGAGUACGCCGGCAACGGUGAAACUCAAAGGAAUUGACGGGGGCCCGCACAAGCGGAGGAACAUGUGGUUUAAUUCGAUGAUACGCGAGGAACCUUACCCGGGCUUAAAUUGCAACCGAAUAUGGCGGAAACGCUAUAGCUAGCAAUAGCGGUUGUGAAGGUGCUGCAUGGUUGUCGUCAGCUCGUGCCGUGAGGUGUCGGCUUAAGUGCCAUAACGAGCGCAACCCUUGCCGAUAGUUACUAACAGGUCAUGCUGAGGACUCUGUCGGGACUGCCAUCGUAAGAUGUGAGGAAGGUGGGGAUGACGUCAAAUCAGCACGGCCCUUACGUCCGGGGCUACACACGUGUUACAAUGGGGGGUACAGAGGGCUGCUACCACGCAAGUGGAUGCCAAUCCCAAAAACCUCUCUCAGUUCGGAUUGAAGUCUGCAACCCGACUUCAUGAAGCUGGAUUCGCUAGUAAUCGCGCAUCAGCCACGGCGCGGUGAAUACGUUCCCGGGCCUUGUACACACCGCCCGUCAAGCCAUG